rnacentral:rRNA from 1 species
UAGGGAAUCUUCCGCAAUGGACGAAAGUCUGACGGAGCAACGCCGCGUGAGUGAUGAAGGUUUUCGGGUCGUAAAGCCCUGUCAGGUGGGAAGAAUGUCCCGGGGCUGAACAGGUUUUGGGAGUGACGGUACCACCAGAGGAAGCACCGGCUAACUCCGUGCCAGCAGCCGCGGUAAUACGGAGGGUGCAAGCGUUAUUCGGAAUUACUGGGCGUAAGGCGCGUGUAGGCGGUCCUGCAAGUCUGAUGUGAAAGCCCCGGGCUUAACCCGGGAAGUGCAUUGGAAACUGUGGGACUUGAGUACUGGAGAGGAUGGGGGAAUUCCCGGUGUAGAGGUGAAAUUCGUAGAGAUCGGGAGGAAUAUCAGUGGCGAAGGCGCCCAUCUGGACGGUAACUGACGCUGAGACGCGAAAGCGUGGGGAGCAAACA